GCUAAUCUAACAAAAAUUUUAAAUUACUAUCCAUUUGCCAACUUUUAUUCAGCUUAGUAAACAAUUAUAAAGGCGUAAAAUUGAAUGAAUUUGGUAUAAUGGGUUUGGUUGGUUUUGGCUUUUGGGGAAACUUCUGACGAUCCCUAUUCUCAAGCUCCCUUCCAUGACCGAUUUUGCCGCUCACCCGGUCGUGUCUUGCAACCCUAUAUGAUGGGUAGGGUUAAGCUAAAGAUCAAGAAAUUGGAGAACAUAAAUGGCCGUCAAGCGACCUAUGGAAAAAGGAAACAUGGCAUCAUGAAGAAGGCAAAGGAGUUGUCUAUUCUAUGUGACAUAGAUAUUAUCCUUCUUAUGUUCUCACCAACUGGCAAGCCCUCAAUAUGCAAAGGAAAAAGGAGCAUUGAAGAAGUCAUUGCAAAAUUUGCUCAGUUAACGCCUCAGGAAAGGGCAAAAAGGAAGUUAGAAGGCCUUGAAGCGCUGAAGAAAACUUUUAAGAAGUUGGACCAUGAUGUCAACAUACCUGAAUUUCUGGGGUCUAGUUCUCAAACUAUAGAGGACCUGUCAAACCAAUCAAGGUUACUGCAGAAUCAACUUUCUGAAGUGCACAAGAGAUUGAGCUAUUGGAGUAAUCCAAAUAAGAUUAACAACAUAGAACAUCUGGGUCAAUUGGAAAAUUCACUCAGGGAAUCACUUAAUCAACUUCGAGCUCAUAAGGAUUAUUUAGGAAAACAGCAAUUUAUGUCGCUGGAAUGCAAUAAUCAGUUCCAAAAUGGGAUGCAUGUGCCUUUCAGAAUUGGCACUGAUCAGCAGCUCCCACCUAUGCCAUGGAUUCCGAAUAAUGACAGUCAACAGAUUGUAUUACCAGAGGAUCCAAAUCUACUUCCCCAUAGGGAUGUCGAGUGUUCUGCAAGUUCCUCGUUUGGUAGUUAUUCUGGUUACUUUGGCACUGGAAAAAGUUCAGAGAUAUCUAAUUCUAGUCAGGAAAAUGGUGUGAACGGUCUUUUUAAUGAAUUAAAUGGAACUGCAUCACUGAGGCUGCAAUUGGCUGGGCAGUAUCCUUACUUGCCAAACAAUCUGAAUUUGCUGAAUGAUGCAAAAUUCCAACCUGCAUCAGAAAUGAACAUACAAGAAAGCCCUGUGGAUUUUCAUGUUAAUGGAAGUUUUGAAGCUCCCAAACCUGGAUAUGACACUAACCCUGGUAGUUGGGCUUCUUCAUCAGGACCAUGUGCUGUUACCAUGUUUGACGAGCGUUUCUAUUCCCGGAAAGAUCAUUUGUAUGGGAGCAACAAUGAGGAAUUUUUCAGAAUUUCCUGAGUGGGAGCUUCGUUUGGGCUCAUGGGAAGUGUGAUUGUCUCGCGAACUAGGUUGUCACACUAUCUUGAGCAACCAAACUGAGCGUCAUGGAUGAUCUUAAUGUUCAGCAACUGAUGAAGUUGCUGGAGAGCUUGGCCACAUUUAUGUGAACUUACAUAUCCCUCCCAAACGAAGCUGCUGAAUUUGCAGUGGGUUUCCAGCCAUGCAAAUAUGAGGAGCAGGCAAUGAGAUACAUAUAUAUGUUUGCCAUCAUGAUAAAAGCAUAGAGAAUGCCCUGAUGUUGAUUACCUGUUAAAAAGCCAAUGGUGCCUAAAUUGAGGCCAUCACUUAUGUGAUACUAUAGUUUCUUCUGUAUACAAACUAUAUAAAUAUUAGGAUUUUGCCAAGUUAUUUUCUUUUGUUUUUUUUUUUUUAAAUUUUUUAAAUUUUUUUAUUUUUGACAAGGUCACACAUAUGGCAGCCAGACUACUGCCUCCUUGUCCUCCCUAAGUGUGUCCUGAGAUGUAAAUUAUAAACCAUAUAUAGCAAUAAUAAUAUAGAAAGUGUUGUAAGUCAAAAACCACAUUUAUGAAUUAUUAUUAUUAUUAGUAUAUCUGUAAGCACAGUUCUGGUUUUGGUUUGCUGCUUAUGAAUUUUUCUUUCCU